rnacentral:rRNA from 1 species
UACGUAGGGGGCAAGCGUUGUCCGGAUUUACUGGGCGUAAAGCGCACGUAGGCGGAUCGAUCAGUCAGGGGUGAAAUCCCAGGGCUCAACCCUGGAACUGCCUUUGAUACUGUCGAUCUGGAGUAUGGAAGAGGUGAGUGGAAUUCCGAGUGUAGAGGUGAAAUUCGUAGAUAUUCGCAAGAACACCAGUGGCGAAGGCGGCUCACUGGCCCGGUACUGACGCUGAGGUGCGAAAGCGUGGGGAGCAAACAGGG